rnacentral:rRNA from 1 species
GGGUUGUGAGGUUAAGCGACUAAGCGUACACGGUGGAUGCCCUGGCAGUCAGAGGCGAUGAAGGGCGUGCUAAUCUGCGAUAAGCGCCGGUAAGGUGAUAUGAACCGUUAUAACCGGCGAUACCCGAAUGGGGAAACCCAGUGUGACUCGUCACACUAUCAUUAACUGAAUCCAUAGGUUAAUGAGGCGAACCGGGGGAACUGAAACAUCUAAGUACCCCGAGGAAAAGAAAUCAACCGAGAUUCCCCCAGUAGCGGCGAGCGAACGGGGAGGAGCCCAGAGCCUGAAUCAGCAUGUGUGUUAGUGGAAGCGUCUGGAAAGGCGCGCGAUACAGGGUGACAGCCCCGUACACAAAAGCGCAUGUGCUGUGAGCUCGAUGAGUAGGGCGGGACACGUGGUAUCCUGUCUGAAUAUGGGGGGACCAUCCUCCAAGGCUAAAUACUCCUGACUGACCGAUAGUGAACCAGUACCGUGAGGGAAAGGCGAAAAGAACCCCGGGAGGGGAGUGAAAAAGAACCUGAAACCGUGUACGUACAAGCAGUGGGAGCCCCACCACCAAAGCAUUCUCUGGUGUUGAAGGCCCUGCAAAGCAGCAUCGCGGUGGCGGAGCGUCGUUUGCGACGCCCAACACACAAAACAAGCGGUGAAUGCUUUGGGGUGGGGUGACUGCGUACCU